rnacentral:rRNA from 1 species
AUUGAACGCUGGCGGCAGGCCUAACACAUGCAAGUCGAGCGAGUGGCGGACGGGUGAGUAAUGUCUGGGAAACUGCCUGAUGGAGGGGGAUAACUACUGGAAACGGUAGCUAAUACCGCAUACCAUCAGAUGUGCCCAGAUGGGAUUAGCUAGUAGGUGGGGUAACGGCGCACCUAGGCGACGAUCCCUAGCUGGUCUGAGAGGAUGACCAGCCACACUGGAACGGAGACCCGGUCCAGACUCCUACGGGAGGCAGCAGUGGGGAAUAUUGCACAAUGGGCGCAAGCCUGAUGCAGCCAUGCCGCUUGUAGGAAGAAGGCCUUCGGGUUGUAAAGCACUUUCAGCGAGGAGGCGUUACUCGCAGAAGAAGCACCGGCUAACUCCGUGCCAGCCGCCGCGGUAAUUC